rnacentral:rRNA from 1 species
GACGAACGCUGGCGGCGUGCUUAACACAUGCAAGUCGAACGGAAAGGCCCUGCUUUUGUGGGGUGCUCGAGUGGCGAACGGGUGAGUAACACGUGAGUAACCUGCCCUUGACUUUGGGAUAACUUCAGGAAACUGGGGCUAAUACCGGAUAGGAGCUCCUGCUGCAUGGUGGGGGUUGGAAAGUUUCGGCGGUUGGGGAUGGACUCGCGGCUUAUCAGCUUGUUGGUGGGGUAGUGGCUUACCAAGGCUUUGACGGGUAGCCGGCCUGAGAGGGUGACCGGCCACAUUGGGACUGAGAUACGGCCCAGACUCCUACGGGAGGCAGCAGUGGGGAAUAUUGCACAAUGGGCGGAAGCCUGAUGCAGCAACGCCGCGUGCGGGAUGACGGCCUUCGGGUUGUAAACCGCUUUCGCCUGUGACGAAGCGUGAGUGACGGUAAUGGGUAAAGAAGCACCGGCUAACUACGUGCCAGCAGCCGCGGUGAUACGUAGGGUGCGAGCGUUGUCCGGAUUUAUUGGGCGUAAAGGGCUCGUAGGUGGUUGAUCGCGUCGGAAGUGUAAUCUUGGGGCUUAACCCUGAGCGUGCUUUCGAUACGGGUUGACUUGAGGAAGGUAGGGGAGAAUGGAAUUCCUGGUGGAGCGGUGGAAUGCGCAGAUAUCAGGAGGAACACCAGUGGCGAAGGCGGUUCUCUGGGCCUUUCCUGACGCUGAGGAGCGAAAGCGUGGGGAGCGAACAGGCUUAGAUACCCUGGUAGUCCACGCUGUAAACGGUGGGUACUAGGUGUGGGGUCCAUUCCACGGGUUCCGUGCCGUAGCUAACGCUUUAAGUACCCCGCCUGGGGAGUACGGCCGCAAGGCUAAAACUCAAAGGAGUUGACGGGGCCCCGCAUAAGCGGCGGAGCAUGCAGAUUAAUUCGAUGCAACGCGUAGAACCUUACCUGGGUUUGACAUGGAUCGGGAGCGCUCAGAGAUGGGUGUGCCUCUUUUGGGGUCGGUUCACAGGUGGUGCAUGGCUGUCGUCAGCUCGUGUCGUGAGAUGUUGGGUUAAGUCCCGCAACGAGCGCAACCCUUGUUCACUGUUGCCAGCACGUUAUGGUGGGGACUCAGUGGAGACCGCCGGGGUCAACUCGGAGGAAGGUGGGGAUGACGUCAAGUCAUCAUGCCCCUUAUGUCCAGGGCUUCACGCAUGCUACAAUGGCUGGUACAGAGAGUGGCGAGCCUGUGAGGGUGAGCGAAUCUCGGAAAGCCGGUCUCAGUUCGGAUUGGGGUCUGCAACUCGACCUCAUGAAGUCGGAGUCGCUAGUAAUCGCAGAUCAGCAACGCUGCGGUGAAUACGUUCCCGGGGCUUGUACACACCGCCCGUCAAGUCAUGAAAGUUGGUAACACCCGAAGCCGGUGGCCUAACCGUUGUGGGGGAGCCGUCGAAGGUGGGACUGGUGAUUAGGACU